rnacentral:rRNA from 1 species
UACGGAGGGUGCAAGCGUUGUCCGGAAUUAUUGGGUUUAAAGGGUGCGCAGGUGGUCCUGCCAGUCAGAGGUUAAAGACCGGGGCUUAACUCCGUGUUUGCCUUUGAUACUACAGGACUUGAAAUACGUAUGGGUAGGCGGAAUUCCUCAUGUAGCGGUGAAAUGCACAGAUAUGAGGAGGAAGACCGAAGGCGAAGGCAGCUUACUGGGCGUUAUUUGACACUGAGGCACGAAAGCGUGGGGAGCGAACAGG